rnacentral:rRNA from 1 species
AUACGGAGGAUCCGAGCGUUAUCCGGAUUUAUUGGGUUUAAAGGGUGCGCAGGCGGGAGAUUAAGUCGGCGGUGAAAUUUUGCAGCUCAACUGUAAAAGUGCCUUCGAAACUGGUUUCCUUGAGUGUAGAUGAAGUAGGCGGAAUUUGUGGUGUAGCGGUGAAAUGCAUAGAUAUCACGAGGAACUCCGAUUGCGCAGGCAGCUUACUAAACUACUACUGACGCUCAGGCACGAAGGCGUGGGGAUCAAACAGGAUUAGAUACCCUGGUAGUCCACGCAGUAAACGAUGAUUACUAGCUGUUUGCGAUACAAUGUAAGCGGCUGAGCGAAAGCGUUAAGUAAUCCACCUGGGGAGUACGUGCGCAAGAAUGAAACUCAAAUGAAUUGACGGGG